AUACGGAGGGAGCGAGCGUUAAUCGGAAUUACUGGGCGUAAAGCGCGCGUAGGCGGCUUUGUAAGUCGGAUGUGAAAGCCCUGGGCUUAACCUGGGAAUGGCAUUCGAUACUGCAGAGCUAGAGUAUGGUAGAGGGAAGUGGAAUUUCCGGUGUAGCGGUGAAAUGCGUAGAUAUCGGGAGGAACACCAGUGGCGAAGGCGGCUUUCUGGACCAAUACUGACACUCAGGCGCGAAAGCGUGGGGAGCAAACAGGAUUAGAAACCCGAGUAGUCC
rnacentral:rRNA from 1 species